rnacentral:rRNA from 1 species
UACGUAGGGUGCAAGCGUUGUCCGGAAUUAUUGGGCGUAAAGAGCUCGUAGGCGGUUUGUCACGUCGGGUGUGAAAGCCCGGGGCUUAACCCCGGGUCUGCAUUCGAUACGGGCAGACUGGAGUGUGGUAGGGGAGAUCGGAAUUCCUGGUGUAGCGGUGAAAUGCGCAGAUAUCAGGAGGAACACCGGUGGCGAAGGCGGAUCUCUGGGCCAUUACUGACGCUGAGGAGCGAAAGCGUGGGGAGCAAACAGG